AUCAGAUCCACCGUGGGUCUGUCCAACAGCAGAGAAAGACCUGAAUGAAGACCUGCGAGAUGCUUGGAUUCAAGGACAAGGGACAGUCGUUUGAAGACAGCAAUGUGAGGAUUUUGGACGGUAAAGCAGUGAAAGAAACCAGGAGAAGCCAACAAAAACAAUCUCAUCUUUCCGAGACCAGCGGAGCAGCCUUAACUCAUCUCCCCAGACCCCAUGUGACCACACCCUGGGACAAGUGACCAAAAUAACACAUGGCAUGCUUGGAGACAUGUUUGGAUUCUCAAUUAACACUGACUCACAUGUUGUAAUUGCCCUACUAGGGGCUUUAAUGGCUCUAUUACUGUUAUUGUGCAGACUGAAAUUUAUAACCCUGUUACUUCCAACUCUGUUCAGAGCUUUUGAAACCUUUCUGAUGGGAGGUAUAAUGCCUUCCAGAAACAAGAGAAGACGUCCAGCUGCCUCCCGCUUAAGCACUUUUUGUAGCCCAGUGCUGAUACCCAGAGUCCUCUAAGAGAGCUCAUAUCUUAGCCCAAAAGGUUUUUGGGCUAAGAUAUGAUACAUUUUUAUCUUGGUGAGGAGGUGUGGUUGUCCCCAUUGCUAGGUGUGAUGCUGUGUUUUAACAGCUGUGAUUGAUUGAUAGAAAAACAAGAAUGUGCUCGUAGUUGUUAAGGAGAGAAGUUAACUAAUUAAAUUGUAUUAAGAAAUGUGUGAUAUGAUAAAGAACUUAUAAAUAAUUGUCACACAGCAUCAAAA